rnacentral:lncRNA from 1 species
CACCUGCUCUGUGCCAGGACCUGUGCUAGCUUUGGAGAUAAGGAGGGGUCCAGGAGGAGGGCCUGGGGGGCAGGUGCUGCUCCCUACCGUAAUGGGAAGAAAGGAGGGAGAGGGACUGGGGAAAGGUCUCCAGUUACAGUUUCUGAGGCUUUCAUCUCAAGGCUUCCCCACCCCUGCCUCUAACGCCCUGUGCUUCUCCAUUCCAAGGCCUCUUGCUGUUCCUGUGUGCCCUGUUCUACCUGCUUCAGGCCCGGAAUUUCCUGCAGAAUGGAAUGAGCUACACCCUGGAGACAAACUACUACCUGGCAUGGCUAGGCAUUUUCCUCUAUAUGCUGACAGGCUUCUUUUGCUUCCUCAACUAUGCGAAUUUCUGGUCUAUGAUGACACCUGGAGGGGCCUGGCUUUAGGCUUUGAGGUGGAUUCCUACCCUGGACCCUGCCCUCCCUGCUUCUUACCCUCACGCCAAGCCUUCCCAGCUGGGACUGUCGCUCUCCCUGGCUGAUCCCUUCUGUUCCCUCUUGACUCCUCAGCUUAAUAAACUCGCGUGUCCUCACUCUCCCCA